GACGUAGGAGGCGAGCGUUGUCCGGAUUCAUUGGGCGUAAAGAGCUCGUAGGCGGUUUGUUGCGUCGGCUGUGAAAUCCCGAGGCUCAACCUCGGGUCUGCAGUCGAUACGAGCAAACUAGAGUGUUGCAGGGGAGACUGGAAUUCCUGGUGUAGCGGUGAAAUGCGCAGAUAUCAGGAGGAACACCGGUGGCGAAGGCGGGUCUCUGGGCAACAACUGACGCUGAGGAGCGAAAGCGUGGGGAGCGAUCCGG
rnacentral:rRNA from 1 species